UACGGAAUGUGCAAACGUUAUUCGGAAUCACUGGGCUUAAAGAGUCCGUAGGCGGCAUGUUAGGUGAGGUGUGAAAUCCCCCGGCUCAACCGAGGAAUUGCGCUUCAAACCGGCGUGCUAGAGGAAGAUAGAGGUGGGCGGAACUGAUGGUGGAGCGGUGAAAUGCGUUGAUAUCAUCAGGAACACCGGAGGCGAAAGCGGCCCACUGGGUCUUUCUGACGCUGAGGGACGAAAGCUAGGGAGCGAAGCGGG
rnacentral:rRNA from 1 species